AACGAACGCUGGCGGCAGGCUUAACACAUGCAAGUCGAACGCAUGCCUUCGGGCAUGAGUGGCAGACGGGUGAGUAACGCGUGGGAACCUACCCCUUGGUACGGGAUAGCUCCGGGAAACUGGAGAUAAUACCGUAUGUGUCCUGAGGGACAAAGAUUCAUCGCCAAGGGAUGGGCCCGCGUCGGAUUAGCUAGUGGGUGGGGUAACGGCCUACCAAGGCGACGAUCCGUAGCUGGUCUAAGAGGAUGAUCAGCCACAUUGGGACUGAGACACGGCCCAAACUCCUACGGAAGGCAGCAGUGGGGAAUAUUGGACAAUGGGCGCAAGCCUGAUCCAGCCAUGCCGCGUGAGUGAUGAAGGCCCUAGGGUUGUAAAGCUCUUUCACCGGUGACGAUAAUGACGGUAACCGGAGAAGAAGCCCCGGCUAACUUCGUG
rnacentral:rRNA from 1 species